GAUGAACGCUGGCGGCGUGCCUAAUACAUGCAAGUCGAACGAACAGACGAGGAUCUUUCGGCUCUGACGUUAGCGACGGACGGGUAAUUAACACGUGAAUAACCUACCUAUAAGACUUAGAUAACUUCAGGAAACCGGAACUCAGACCGGGUCAUAUAUUGAACCGGAGGGUUCAAGAGUGACAGACGGUUUUGCUGUCACUUAUAGAUGUGGCCGCGCCGCAUUAUCUAGUGGUUAAGGUAACGGCUUACCAAGGCGACGAUGCGUAGCCGACCGGAGAGGGUGAUAGGCCACCCUGGAACUGAGACACCGUCACGACUCCUACGGGAGGCAGCAGUAGGGAACCGUACGCAACGGGCGAAAGCCUGACGGAGCAACGCCGCGUGAGUGAUGAAGGUCUUCGGAUCGUAAAACUCUGUUACUAGGGAAGAACCACUGUGUAAGGAAAUAUGCACGUCUUGACGGUACCUAAUCAGAAAGCGACGGCUAACUACGUG
rnacentral:rRNA from 1 species